rnacentral:rRNA from 1 species
GUGCCCCGCCUGGGGAUUACGGUCGCAAGGCUGAACUCAAAGAAUUGACGGGGCCGCCACAAGCGGUGGAGCAUGUGGUUUAUUCGACGCAACGCGAAGAACCUUACCUGGGCUUGAACUGCUGGGUUUAGCUUCCUGAAAGGGAAGUGAACCUGCUUGCAGGAGACCAGCAGAGGUGCUGCAUGGCUGUCGUCAGCUCGUGUCGUGAGAUGUUGGGUUAAGUCCCGCAACGAGCGCAACCCUUGCCUUUAGUUGCCAGCGAGUCAUGUCGGGUACUCUAAGGGGACUGCCACGGAUAACGUGGAGGAAGGUGGGGAUGACGUCAAGUCAGCAUGGCCUUUAUGUCCAGGGCGACACACGUGCUACAAUGGGCGGCACAAAGGGACGCGAAACCGCAAGGUGGAGCUAAUCUUCAAAGCUGCUCUCAGUUCGGAUCGCAGGCUGCAAUUCGCCUGCGUGAAGUUGGAAUCGCUAGUAAUCGCGGAUCAGCCUCGCCGCGGUGAAUACGUUCUCGGGCCUUGUACACACCGCCCGUCACAUCACGAAAGUUGGUUAUACCCGAAGUCGCCGGGCUAACCUUUGGAGGCAGGCGCCGAAGGUAUGAUCGAUGAUUGGGGUGAAGUCGUAACAAGGUAACCAAGGGCGAA